GUAAUUAUCAACAAUUAAAAGAAACAUAUAUCCUAGCCUCUAGGUUUCCUCCAUCAUUCUCUAUAAAUAGAAAAGGUAGGGAGUUUUGCCAACCGUAAGUUUGCUUUUAGCUAAUUUAUGUCUUUUUGCCCUAAAACAAGUUUGAUUACAUGUUAUUUCAUGUCUUGCAUGUGUGCUAAUCAUGUUUCAUGUGUUUUAUGCUUGUAAUAUCAGAAUCUUAGAGUCGGAGUGCCAAAAUUGAACCAAAUAGGCCUAGACAGAAGCCUAGACCCGAUCGACUAUGCAUAGAGUUAAUUAAUUAUGUGUAGAGUCGAUCGACUGUGCAUAGAGCCGAUCAAUUAUUAUAGAGCCGACCAGCUCUGUGAUGCGGUCAAUCAGUUAUUAGUCCAAAACUUGCCCUAUCUUGCGAAUUUCGACCCUUUUCACUAAUUCAUGCCAAUUCUAGUUUAUGUUAGUCGUUUUUCAAGUUUAUUAGUUGUAAAAGGAUUAUAAUAAUUAGUUUUUUAUUAUUUUUUUAUCUUGCUUUAUAUUUUGCUUUAUGUUUGAUGGAUGGAUGGUAAAUACAUGUAUGAUUAUUAACUAAAAUUAGACAUCUAGACAUAGGCUUUAAAACUUGGGCUUUGAUAUGUAAACUGUAGUUUAUUAAGCCAACAUAUUGGUAAAUUGGGCCUAAAUUAAAAUCCAUCUAGACUUAGCAGGCUUUUCCAUGUCUAAAUUAAUUAAAUCAACCCACUUAGAAUAUGAUGACUAAAUUCGGCCUUAGCAUGCAAUUAAUAGUCCACUUACAGUAGGAACCUGGUAAUCAAAGCAUAUCUUGUAAAAGGACUAGACUAGGCGGGCUUCCUUGUGCAUAAUUGAGUAGUUAACUUAGACUAACAAUAUAAAUGGGAAUUGAGCCUAACUAAAAUGAGCGAAACUUAAGUGGACCUUAUAUGCUAUAGUACUUGAUGUGUAGAAUUAUUAUACUGUAAUUAUAGGGAAUAGCCCGUUAAAUAAAAAAAAUAACGAUAUGGAUACACAAUUAAGGAAGUUGGCUUGUAGAUCCAUCUCUGAAUGUGGCGAAGCCUCUUUAUGAAAUCUUAUAAGCAACUCAAUUAGUAAAAGUGUUCCAGAGAAUUACCUGGGUGGCGACUCACUUUUUUCGCGCUAGUCUCUGUGACUAGUUAGUGUACUUUCAAUUAGGUUGAAAAUCGUGCUAUAUUUACUAAAAACACUUCGAUGCGCAUCCAAAACUGCCACACAUAAUAUGGUUCGACAUUCAUAAUAACUUAUAGAUAUGGCAUCCUCCUUUAUGCUACUCACACGUCUGGUGCAGCUGACUAAGGGGGAUAAAGAAUCUAAAAAUCCAUAAUCAUUAAUAUUUAUACUACACAAGAAAUUCAUCUAAACAACCAGACUCUCUAAAAAAUUACUAGUUAUUCCCCUAGUGAAAUUAUGUCUAAUAGACAAACUAGUGUCAAUAGAAUUUACUCGCAAUUAGGACUCAAAACUAGCUAGCUUAGAUUCAUAUUCACUAAUAAAUAUCCUAGAGCAAUUAAUCUUAAUCAUUAUCUAAAAUUAAUACAUGAUCAACUAAUCGUUGAUCCUCGAUUACCUCGAUAUUACUUAAUUGGCCAAAAAAGUCUUCAAAAUAUAAAUCACAUGACUAUCCUUAACUAUACAAUCAAGUAUUAAUUAUUAAAAUAAAUCUUAAUUAAUCACGAUUAAAUUAUUUUUAAGUAAGUUGUAAGUUACUCAUUAAAUACUAACAAAUUGAACAAUUAAUUAAAUAACUAAACCAAGUUCGAGUAUGAGAUUCUAUACCGAGCCAAAACAAAUCACGACACUAGCACAUAGGAGCUCGAAAAAUCGAGAUGGAAUUUCCGUCAUUAUCACACAUACCGAGGUCACGGGCCUGGUCGUCGAAAAGUUUUAAUGGUAGUAAAAAUUUGAUCCAAGAGUAACAACUCAUCAAUUAAGACGUGGAGAGUACAAAUAUGCAAUUUCUUUCUCCAAACAACCACCUGAAGACUGCCAUAAAGCUAAAAGAUACCAUGCAGUACCGACGAGACUUCCUCAACUCCGAUCACUAGCCAAAGAUGGACGCCAAGCCUUGAAACUGCCUAGGUUUACGUUUUUAGGUGUAAGGAUGUUGAUUCUAGCCUUAAAUUGGCUAAAAAAUGCUGAUAAGUGAGUAUUCUGGGAACGACAGCUAAAAGCCCAAUUCCACUCCCUUGCGAUUAGUCGAACCAUGGUGGUUCAAUGGUAGUAAAAUUUGGUUCGAGGGUAAUAUCUCGUAGAUCAAGACGUAGGGAGUCUAAAUAUGCAAUUGCUUUCUCUAAACAACCACCUGAAGGUUGCCAAAAAGCUAAUAAAAUCAACCAGCACCGACGAGACUUCCUCAACUCCGAUCACUGGCCAAAGAUGGAUGUCAAGCCUUAAAACUGUCUAGGUUUAUGUUUUUAGGUGUGAGGAAGCUGAUUCUGGCCUUAAAUUGGAUGGAAAAUGCUGAAAAGUAAUCAUUCUGGCAAUGUCAGCUAGAAGCACAAUUUCACUCCUUUGCUAUUCGCCAACCAUGGUGGUUUCAGGCCAUAACGGUGUCGCCAGAUUGCUAAGGAGGUGGAGAGGAGGGUUUAGUUAAAUUUUGGAAGGUUAAUGUGGCCGAAAAAGAGGCUGAACAAUGAUGAAUGGAGGUGACGAGAGAGAAAAAUCAUUAAGGAGAGAAAACGAGAGAGUAACCGAAAUGGUUUUUGGGCUACAAUAAAAUUACUAUUAAGUCCCCCCCUUAAUAAGUAAUCUACUACAGUAA
rnacentral:lncRNA from 1 species